CCCUUAGAUGUUCUGGGCUGCACGCGUGCUACACUGAUAUUGCCAAUAUGUCAUUCUUAUCCGAAAUGGAUUGGGUAAUCAAGUAAUGAAAUUUCAUGCUUGGAAUCGGUAAUUGCAAUUUUAUCGUGAACGAGGAAUUCCUAGUAAGCACUAGUCAUCAGCUAAUGUUGAUUAUGUCCCUGCCCUUUGUACACACCGCCCGUCGCUACUACUGAUUGGGUGUUCAAGUGAGAUGCUUAGACCCUUGUUGCAUGGUUCAUUAUUGUGCUCCGAAAGGAAAAAGUUUCAAGCUUGAGUGUCUAGAGGAAGUAAAAGUCAUAACA
rnacentral:rRNA from 1 species